rnacentral:rRNA from 1 species
UAUAAGUAUAAACGAUUUUAUCGUGAAACCGCGAACGGCUCAUUAUAACAGCUAUAAUUUACUUGAUCUUGACUUCCUACUUGGAUAACUGUGGUAAUUCUAGAGCUAAUACAUGCACCAAAGCUCCGACCUUACGGGAAGAGCGCAUUUAUUCGAACAAAACCAAGCGGCUUCGGCCGUCCGCAGUUGACUCAGAAUAACUAAGCUGAUCGCAUGGUCUUGAACCGGCGACGUGUCUUUCAAGUAUCUGCCUUAUCAACUUUCGAUGCUAGUGUAUCUGACUACCAUGGUGGUGACGGGUAACGGAGGAUAAGGGUUCGACUCCGGAGAAGGGGCCUGAGAAAUGGCCACUACGUCUAAGGAUGGCAGCAGGCGCGCAAAUUACCCACUCUCAGAAUGAGGAGGUAGUGACGAGAAAUAACGAGACCGUUCUCUACGAGGCCGGUCAUCGGAAUGGGUACAAUUUAAA